rnacentral:sRNA from 1 species
UUUUUUUUGGUGUAAAACUUUGAUUCAGAUUAUGCAAACCAAGUAGUAGUACUACUACAUGUAACUAUUUAGCCAUUUAUUCGUUUAAAAUUUUUUUUUUUUUUUUUGAAUACUAAGAGAUUUUGGGCCGAAUGCCAUAAUCAUAAUAAUCCUAAUGUAUUUU